UACGUAGGGGGCAAGCGUUGUCCGGAAUCAUUGGGCGUAAAGCGCGUGUAGGCGGUUCGCAAAGUCUGGUGUGAAAACUUAGGGCUCAACCCUAAGCCUGCACUGGAUACUGGCGGACUUGAGUCCGGAAGAGGAGAGUGGAAUUCCUGGUGUAGCGGUGGAAUGCGCAGAUAUCAGGAGGAACACCGAUGGCGAAGGCAGGUCUCUGGGCAUUAACUGACGCUGAGGAGCGAAAGCAUGGGGAGCGAACAGG
rnacentral:rRNA from 1 species